AACUAAUGAUUUAAUUUUAAAUCAAGGUAUGUUAUUAUUAAAUAUUCAUUUUCCAUUUUAUUUAAUAAAUAUUUAUUAAGCAUCUUUUAUGUGCGGAUGGAGAUACGCUGGUAUACACAGAUAAACAAGUCAAAGUGUUGUACUAGAAAUUCUGGUAGUUCAAAUGGUAAAAACUCAAUUCAAACCAGUUUAAGUAAAAUGAAGGAAGGAGCCGGGUCUGGGGGAGUUGUGCUUUUAUCCCCAGGCCCAACUGAGUUUCCAGAUGCUCACACAACUAUUAUGUUGUUUCAGCAUUGGUCCUAUUUGUAAGCAGUAUCCUCCCCCCAGUUGGUAGCAAGUUGGACACUGGCAGUUCAAGGCGUUCAUCAUUGUCACAGCUUAUUAUCCCUGUGAAAGUAGUCCCCUACUCCACAGUUUAAAGAAAUUCUUGGCGGGGCGCGGUGGCUCACGCCUGUAAUCCCAGCACUUUGGAAGGUCGAGGGGGGGCGGAUCACGAGUUGAGGAGAUGGAGCCCAUCCUGGCUAACACGGUGAAACCUCGUCUCUACUAAAAAUACAAAAAAUCAGCCGGGCGUGGCGGCGGGCGCCUGUAGUCCCAGCUACUCGGCAGGCUGAGG
rnacentral:lncRNA from 1 species